GCUAACUGCGGGGGUGCAGCUGGGGGAAGACGAAGGGGGGAAGGGUGAAUCGGAAGGACUGGGCUGAAAGGGUGCGUGGGCGGUUCGUUAAGUAUGGAGUGAAAGCACAGGGAUAAACCGGGGAAUGGCGUGGGAGACUGGUGGGCGAGAGUGUGGCAGAGGAUGGUGGAAUUCCCGGUGUAGCGGUGAAAUGCGUAGAGAUCGGGAGGAACAUCAGUGGCGAAGGCGGCCAUCUGGGACAACACUGACGCUGAAGCACGAAAGCGUGGGGAGCAAACAGGAUUAGAUACCCUAGUCGUC
rnacentral:rRNA from 1 species